rnacentral:rRNA from 1 species
UACGUAGGUGGCAAGCGUUACUCGGAAUCACUAGGCGUAAAGCGCAGGUAGGCGGUUCGGUAAGUCUUUUGUGAAAGCUCCUGGCUCAACUGGGAGAGGUCAAAGGAAACUACUGGGCUAGAGUGUGGUAGGGGAGACUGGAAUUCCCGGUGUAGCGGUGAAAUGCGUAGAUAUCGGGAGGAAUACCUAUGGCGAAAGCAGGUCUCUGGGCCAUCACUGACGCUGAGCUGCGAAAGCUAGGGGAGCAAACAGG